GGAGAGGUGGCGGAAUUGGUAGACGCGCUACUUUGAGGGGGUAGUGACAGUUUGUCGUGGGAGUUCGAGUCUCCUCCUCUUCA
rnacentral:tRNA from 2 species